GUUUUGGGGAAUGGGGGGGAAAAAGGGGAACAAGAUGAAGGGGGGGGAGUUUAUAAAGUCCCAUUGGUGGACAAUAGUGCAGCGGAGUUUGGCAUAUGUGGUGGUUGACAACAGGGACAAUGCAAAGAAGAGUGGAGGAACAUAUAAAAAAGAUAUCCUGGAAGUGAACCUAAACACAGCCCUUGUGGCGAUAGCCUGUGGGAGGGAUGUUGCGGUGGAUUGGGAGGGGGUGAAGUGUUGAAUCAUUAAGGAGGCAUGGUGGGCCAGCUAUAGUGGAGUCGCUGCGGAUAGUGGAGGUGAAGAGAGAGAAAUUGGC
rnacentral:lncRNA from 1 species